AGUGAACGCUGGCGGUAGGCCUAACACAUGCAAGUCGAACGGCAGCACAGAGGAGCUUGCUCCUUGGGUGGCGAGUGGCGGACGGGUGAGGAAUACAUCGGAAUCUACUCUGUCGUGGGGGAUAACGUAGGGAAACUUACGCUAAUACCGCAUACGACCUACGGGUGAAAGCAGGGGAACUUCGGACCUUGCGCGAUUGAAUGAGCCGAUGUCGGAUUAGCUAGUGGGCGGGGUAAAGGCCCACCAAGGCGACGAUCCGUAGCUGGUCUGAGAGGAUGAUCAGCUACACUGGAACUGAGACACGGUCCAGACUCCUACGGGAGGCAGCAGUGGGGAAUAUUGGACAAUGGGCGCAAGCCUGAUCCAGCCAUACCGCGUGGGUGAAGAAGGCCUUCGGGUUGUAAAGCCCUUUUGUUGGGAAAGAAAUCCAUCUGGUUAAUACCCGGGUGGGAUGACGGUACCCAAAGAAUAAGCACCGGCUAACUUCGUGCCAGCCGCCGCAGUAA
rnacentral:rRNA from 1 species